UUAUCUGUUUUUAGAAUUGAUGUUUGAAAUCAUGAUUUCUGAGUGAACUUCAAAGGAGCAGAAAAUCUUGGAGGAGACAUUAAUAUCAAUCUUAUGACAUUCCAUAGGAAUAAAAAUCCAAUGGGAUCCAGUUCUUAGCAGUCCCAGCCUAGUCAGAAGUACAAAGUCAAAUACCAUUUGCACAUCACCAAGGGGUACAAUCUGAUGAGUAACAGGAUAUCUGAUCUAAAAGCUUGCCAGGUUUCAUAAGCUGUUUGAGUAUCACCAGGGCAGAUCAAGAAGAAAUAUGAAGGCCAGGUUCAUAAAAAGCAGUUUCUUCAUUGCAAUUACAGAUUUAAAAACUUGAAUGAAUUUAAAUAAAUGUGUCAAUACAUACUGAAUGCUGCUUAAACUACACAUCUGUUGAAAAAAAGAUUAAUUGGAGUAUAGAUAUUUAGGUCCAUAGGUUUCACACAAGAUUAAAAUAUUUUUCCAAAGGGC
rnacentral:lncRNA from 1 species